GGAAGAGCAUCGUCUCCCGGUGGGGCGCCCGGACUUCAAAUCCGGUGGAACGCACGAAGGUGUGUUCGGUAGGUUCGACUCCUACCUCUUUCGCCA
rnacentral:tRNA from 2 species